CUACGGGCGGCUGCAGUGGGGAAUAUUGGACAAUGGGGGAAACCCUGAUCCAGCAAUGCCGCGUGUGUGAAGAAGGCCUGCGGGUUGUAAAGCACUUUCGGUUGGGAGGACUGCUUCUAGCACUAAUAUUGUUGGAAGUUGACGUUACCUUCAGAAGAAGCACCGGCUAACUCCGUGCCAGCAGCCGCGGUAAUACGGAGGGUGCAAGCGUUAAGCGGAAUUACUGGGCGUAAAGCGCGCGUAGGCGGCUAGAUCAGUCGGGUGUGAAAGCCCCGGGCUUAACCUGGGAACUGCAUCCGAUACUGUCUAGCUUGAGUACAGGAGAGGAGAGUGGAAUUCCACAUGUAGCGGUGAAAUGCGUAGAUAUGUGGAGGAACACCAAUGGCGAAGGCAGCUCUCUGGCCUGAUACUGACGCUGAGGCGCGAAAGCGUGGGGAGCAAACAGGAUUAGAUACCCUCGUAGUC
rnacentral:rRNA from 1 species